rnacentral:lncRNA from 1 species
UAAUUUUUUUAUUUUCCCACUGUAUAUCCUGGAGUUUCUUAAUGCACUGUGACCAAAAUAUCUGGGAAGGCCUAAGAAGUGCUGCUGCCCGGAACAAGGGAGCAACUUCUGACCACCUGCAACCUCUGUCCUUGGCUCCUCCAUCUGAGGAGUCCCAGGCCCAGCCUGCCUCUCGUGGUGUGACAUUUCCCCUCCCUGGAACCUUGAAAUACGGCGGAAGAGCCUGGGGGAGGGAGAGUAUGGAGCACAGGACCACACACUGAAGGAAGAAAAGCUGACUCCCGCUCACUUGAGGCUUUGUCAUCCCGGUAGCAGCUUUCACUAUGUGGAGAAGACUGUGCCUGAGAAACAUCUCGUCGUGCCUACUUGGUGCCAGGAACCAGUGGCGUCAGGGCAGAUGAGGAGUGGAGGCGUAUGAGUAAGGCUACACUGAGAGAACACUGGGAGCACUUCAGAAGUGAGGUCAGAAGGACAAAGGGUUGUUUUUAUUUUUUAAUUCUUUUUUUUUUUUGUCUUUUUAGGGCCACACCCACGGCAUAUGGAGGUUAGGGACUAAUGUCCAUCUGGGUGUAGGUGCAAUCCCUAUAGUAAACAAGGCCCAUGGGGAUGCUACUCCCUGGAGCCCUUAAGCCACAACACACCAACUACAUUUUAAGUGCCACUUAAAAUGGCACAUGUGGCUAGAGGCUACUAUGCUGGACAGUGAAAGGAUAGCUCCAUCACAGAAAGUUCUACUGGACAGUGUUGGUCAUAGAAAGUUCUACUGGACAGCCUUGCUACAUAUGGGGAAGAAAAAAAAAAAAUCACUAUCUUCUUUCCAAAAUGGAAAACACUUCUGGCGUGUCAGUGUUUUGUGUUAGAACACCUUCAGUCUAACGGUUCAGUCCUGCAGUCUCAGGAGCUGUCAUGACACCUGUCAGGGUCCCUCUGGUUGUCCACCAUUGCCGUCUCUACACACCAGCCUUGUCGCCUCCAGCUUCCAUCCUCUAUCACUUAGCUUGCCAUUGCAAACAAUCAGGAAAAGGAAUUCAGUGAAGGAUGUGAAUUAGCACCAGUGCCAUCACAGUGCAGGCAAGAAGAAUGUCUGAUUUCAGGACAAACGGUGUUGGCAAACAAGCACUUGACAUACGGAGGUGUCAGAACAAAGGUCACUGAUGCUGGGACUCAGCAGUGUAAAUUACUUAAAUUUGACCUUUAUCUCCUGUCUCUGGAAAUAGGAAGAUUUGUCAUUAUGGGGUGUGUGUGUGUGUGUGUGUGUGUGUGUGUGCGAGCGCGCGUGCGCUUGCGAUGUCAGAGACAGAGACGGACACAGAUGGGGAAAGCAGGGGAGGUAGAGAGUGUUGACUAUAAUUUUUUAAAAAAGUACACUUCUGUACUUGAACUGGCAGAGUGAUCAGACACUGGAAGAGGCCACUGAGGGAGCUCAUAAACUUUCUGUUCUUAGAAAUCUUCACAGAGAAGCAAGACACGCUUACUCGGGAACAAAUUUCUUUGGAUGCAGGACAUUGAAUAAGGCAACUUUUCAACCUCCUUUCCUGAUUGGUAAUACUCAUUUUUAAAUAAAAACACUCUCCUAAGAAAGUAAUAUUAAAAUUCACGGAAAUUAUGUAAGGGGCCACCCACCCCAGUCAAGUCAUAGAUGAGUAUUUCAAAAUUGGAUAAUUUGAAAAACAUUUACAUUUGGUCUUUGAAAGUAUAAUAAAACUUGGGGAUGGUAUGAUUUGCUAUCUUAUAGAUUAAGAUAAGACUGAAAAUAAAAUUUGAGCCCCACGGCAUAUGUGUCUGUAGGGGGAGGUGCUAGGGAGCUUAGUUUAGGAUUUUAUUUAUUUAUUUGCUUUUUAGGGCUGCACCCGCAGCAUAUGGAGGUUCCCAGGCUAGGGGUCCAAUCAGAGCUACAGCUGC